UCAUGUUUGUGCCCUAGCUUGCUCUCGUCCACAGCAUCCCCUCCCUCCUGCACCACCGCUCUCGGUCGUCGCUUUCCUCUAUCUUGUGGCAUGAGUGCCCGGCAGCCGCUCCCCUCUCUGUUGUGCCCCUGAUCCCGGCAGCCACUCCCCACUAUCGUGUGCCUCCCCUGUCGGCCGUCGAUCAUCGUUCUUUCUCUCGUGUGCCUCCACUAUACUACCUUACUCUCAAGCAUUGGAGAAAUUUCAGCCGCAUAUCCAACAGGUUAGUAUGAAGAGUAAUGGGAAGGGUGUUUCUAUUGAUGGCAUCCCUCUUUAAUUUGAGACCGGUGAAAUUGACUGAAUGACGCUGCCAACUUCUUUGAUUAUAGGCUUAUUAAUGUUUGUGUUGCUUUGCUAAGCUUUAGCUUUUGGAUUUGGAAGAAUUUCUUAACUUUUUUUUCCAUCCUGAUUUGCUGCUUAUCUGUCAUUUACCAUCAAAUAUUUCUAAUUGUGUUCUAUACAGAACUGGAAUUCUCAGCUUUCUGAAUUAUUACUUUACUAGGGUCUUUUUGGAUUAUUUAUUUGGAUAUGAAUGCAUGUGUGAAAUGAAAAAUGUAAACUAAACAAACACAAAUAGAUUGAGAGAGGUUUUGAGAUGUGAUGUGCUUAAUUCUUCUUGCUCACAGGAAAGAUACUUGCUGAGUUUGAAUUGUGACAAAUAUGUGAUAAUAGUUUGUUCUUUUUCUGAAAACAAUUUGAGCUUAUAGAUGUACACCAUAGCUUGUCAAGCAAUUUGUUUGAUCUUGGAUUCGACAAAAUAGGGGAUGAAUUAAGGUGGAUUAGAAUAAAUAUAUUUCCUUCUUAAACCUGCCUUAUUCUGUUGUUGUUUAUCUACUUAUGUUCAUUUAGUCUGUUGUGCAUUUUUACUGCAAAUAUAUUUCCUUUCCAGUUAUUUGUUGAAUAUCAUUAUUUGAUGCAUGAAUUUCUUGUGACUAACAUGGAAGGAUUAUUCCUUGUGAUUUUAUUGGUGUCAUGAGGAGCAAGCAACCAAUUUAUUUGAAAGGUGAGGUGGUGAGCAACCAUGAAUACAACUUAACACGUCGUUUAUUGUAUUUUAUUUUUAGAUCGAUGGCAAGAUUCAUGACAAAUCAGACAAAGUAUACACUGGAUAGUGUUCCAUAUCCAACUCAAACUCCAUGACUUGUCUUUUUUAUAUAUAUAUUUAUUGUAUGAUAAUCAUGUAUAUAAUCCUGCAAGUUUGUUUUUUCCUUUGAGCAA